AGGAGUGUUGCUCAGUGGUAGAGCACUUGCCUAGCAUGUGUGAACCUCUGGGUUCAAUCCCCAGUACUGCGC
rnacentral:tRNA from 1 species